AAUCCACUUACACAAACAGAUGCACAAAUGGAGAAAAAGAGGGAAAAAAACCAUUAAGUUCACACACCCUCCAAAAAUGAAUUCAACACGCACGCUCCUAUCUACAACACUUUGUUGUUGGAAUACUACAAUUGUGUAUUUAAUAAAUACUACUACUAUUGCUGGGAAUUGUGACUCUUGAGUCUUUUAAGUGAACUACUCAAUCACUUCAACAUGAGUUAAGUCAGUUCACUAUUAAGAUUCGUUCAUUGAGUCAGUUUCUAAGAUAUCCCCUCUCCAAUAAAAAUAAUUUCUACCAUUUUUGGGAAUAAUUCAAACUGAUAUUUAAAAAACCUGUAUUGAAUCAAUAUAGAAAAAUAAACUCUUAAGAAAAAAUUACUAAGGAAAUUGGAAGCGAGACUUGAAGUGCUCAAGAUGUACAAUUGUCCAUAUUUGUCGUAGAGCACGAAUUCAAUCUUAUAAAUGGAAUAUAUAUUUGGGAUAGAAACUAUUCAGUAGUGAUUUGUACGUUAUAGGAUCACCUUUUCAAUUAGUUAAUAAAAGGAUAUUGUUUAUUACCGUUGUAAUACCUAGGACUUUUAAUAAUACCAUUAAUUAGAUGUGUAUGACUCGUAAAAAGUAAAGGAAUCAGUUCCUUAACAUGAGCAAGUCUUCGGGAGUCCUUAUUUCUUCCUCAAAUCACGAGGCGGAUAAUUAUCUACUUCAUUGUCGUCAUAUGGGAUUCAAACAGCAAGUGUAUUUGCAUAUAGUGGUGGAGGAUAUCCACCUGCUUAGGGAAGGACAUUAAUGAGAGGAAUAUAAAAACACAAAUCUGAUCCCUCAUUCAUUCGGAUGGGCCUUGCUGACCUUAAAAUUCAUCGAGGAGGGUUAUAAUAAUCUAUGUUGCUGGAUAUAUUUCAGGAUUAUUUGUACAAGAGUUUUCCUAAUUUACAUACAUACUACAACGUAGAUAUAUGAUUAUAUCUACGAUAUCUUAAUAAAUGAUUGAACACGUUGACGUUUUUGAGGAAGAGUUAUCAGCAUAAGCGUAUGGAGAUAUAUCAUAUUCUAUUCAUAUAUAUAUAUAUAUAUAGCCUUAUAAAGUUGUAGGGAUUUCCCGGUGGGCCAAUGGGAUGGCUUCCCUCACCUCAAAUGAAAAAGGCCUGUCAAUAACUCCCCCUGGGUUAUUUUCCUUACCCAAUUCAGUCCAAAUCUUACUUUAAUCCUUUCGCCAUUUCUUUAAUGUUGAUCCCAUUAUUGACUCGGUAUAAGCCUCAUAUCAAUAUAUUUUAUGAGCUUAAUGAUAUAAAUUCGAUAUUUCAACUUUUUCUAAUAGUAUAGAAUUAAAGCUUAAGGAAAAAUGUAAAAUCUAAUGCUGAAGGUUAUCAGAUUAUGAUUCAGUGUGUCUGAAAUCUUCGACUAAAAUAAUGGACACUGUGACUGGUCAAUUUAAUUGCUUGCUCGAACUUCAUAUAGUUAGAAAUUUACAAUGACAUAGCUUCAUCAAUAUUUUAAGAAAGUUGGAAGUCGAUUCAGAAUCCAACUACUUUGAAUCUGGAUACCUAUAAUAUAAGUAUUCUGCUUUCAUGGAAGUAUUAUGAAGAUUUAAUUACGAAACUACAUCUUCAUUCAGCGAACCGUGUUUGAUAUGUUGUCCGAACAUAUAUAUUCGGUGCAAAAUUCUUCGUCUUUGAAAUGAAGGGAACAAAUAAGUUUCUUUUUACUAUCAACUAAUUUUCCAUCUAAAAAUAUUACAAAAAGUUGAUGGUAGAGGUUUUUAAAAUUUACUUUUAAAAAAAUAUUUGUAAAAUACAGUUUAUAAAUCAUUUUCCAAAAGCAAAUAUGUUGUUUCCAAGUUCAAAGUCAAAUACAAAUUCAUUAACGUUAUUAUGUCUCCUAAAUUUUGAAUGUAGUUAUUUUAAAUAAAUUUAGUUUUUU
rnacentral:lncRNA from 1 species